rfam:Drosophila virilis strain TSC#15010-1051.87 Ctg01_17256, whole genome shotgun sequence.
AAAAUGGCUUUGCUCAAAGCCACGAAAUAUAUGUCAAAUAUUGCAU